rnacentral:rRNA from 1 species
UACGAAGGGUGCUAGCGUUGUUCGGAAUCACUGGGCGUAAAGCGCGCGUAGGUGGCUUAACAAGUCAGAGGUGAAAGCCCAGGGCUCAACCCUGGAAUUGCCUUUGAAACUGUUAAGCUUGAGUGUCGGAGGGGAUAGCGGAAUUGCUAAUGUAGAGGUGAAAUUCGUAGAUAUUAGCAGGAACACCGGUGGCGAAGGCGGCUAUCUGGACGACAACUGACACUGAGGCGCGAAAGCGUGGGGAUCAAACAGG